GACGAACGCUGGCGGCGUGCUUAACACAUGCAAGUCGAACGGAAAGGCCCUGCUUUUGUGGGGUGCUCGAGUGGCGAACGGGUGAGUAACACGUGAGUAACCUGCCCUUGACUUUGGGAUAACUUCAGGAAACUGGGGCUAAUACCGGAUAGGAGCUCCUGCUGCAUGGUGGGGGUUGGAAAGUUCGGCGGUUGGGGAUGGACUCGCGGGUUAUCAGCUUGUUGGUGGGGUAGUGGCUUACCAAGGCUUUGACGGGUAGCCGGCCUGAGAGGGUGACCGGCCACAUUGGGACUGAGAUACGGCCCAGACUCCUACGGGAGGCAGCAGUGGGGAAUAUUGCACAAUGGGCGGAAGCCUGAUGCAGCAACGCCGCGUGCGGGAUGACGGCCUUCGGGUUGUAAACCGCUUUCGCCUGUGACGAAGCGUGAGUGACGGUAAUGGGUAAAGAAGCACCGGCUAACUACGUG
rnacentral:rRNA from 1 species